GCGGUAUUUUUUAAAAUAACAAGCAAGUUCGUACUCCAAGGCAAGUAUUAAAAAAAGACUUGACGCUGAAGCAAUCGACAAAUUAUGGCUGAUGACUGUUUUCAUGUUACCUCUAGAGACUCCGCAACUCACGAGACUGCUGCCUCACGCCCAGUUUUAGAAAUGUCUCGCAGUAAAAUUCCGAACGUCUAUGAUAACAUAGACUACGCUAUUAAUAUCAUGGGAAAACCUUCAACCUUGAACCGCAUUACAGACAAGGCCCUAAUCCGUAAAAACAGAGUGGAAGCUGGAUGUGCCGCGUAUGGAUCGAGACCACCAGGCUAUAAUAUUGACGAGUACCCGUUUGCGUGCUGUGCCCAGGGUGGAAAAGGCGCUGUUUUGAGGCCGGUUCCGAUAAGAGAAAACAGCAUCCAAGGGGGCAAACUGGCACAAUUUUUCAAGAAAAAUGAUAUCAAAGAUGGCGAUUCUUUCAAGAUCAAACUUACUUAGAGCCAGGUCUUCAUAUCGUGUGGUCUAAAGCUACUGAUGUUGUAGACGUUUUAUUUGUGCUGUCACAAAAUAAAUAUUGUCAGAAACGUAAUACGACAUUUCUUUAACAAACGUCUUAUUUGCGUGCGCGAGACAGAGACAAACGUUUGUUCCUGGGUGGAUUCAGCACUAGUGCACUAAUUUGCAUGACACAAGAAAACUGCUAAAAAUAUAAACCACUUUGUUUUGUAAUGCAAAUUUGUGCAUUAGUGCUGCAUGAUCUAUCCCUGGUUUGUUCUCUUUUUUCCCCUGAUGUUUUGCCGGGUAUUUUUGUUGCCUUUUUUUACUGUUGACAGUCGCGUGGUGGGUCAAUGGUUGACCAUACAUUUCAGUGUUAAAUCAUCCAGAUCUUAUUAGGACAUGUAUUUUACCAAACCCUGGGUUUUAGCGAGACAACAAAUAAUGUCAAUAUCUCCACUUCCUUGAUUUCCGGCUUUUGGGCGGUACUUCUAAGUAAAUGAAAACUGCUUCGGUGGACAUUUGAAAGAAGUCUGAAAGUUUAAAAAUGAAGUCCAUCCUAUUAUUCAUUGCUUUGGUUGCUUUUAUUCCGACUUUAAUGGCGAAGUCUGAUGACUCGAUGAACGGGAUGAAACACAACAACUUUCACAACAACUUUAAGUUAUUUCUUAGAGCAUUAACACCGUGUCCGCGCAUCAAAUUUCCCUGUUCUCGUAUGCCAAACGUUUGCAAAAAUAUGCGAAACGCCAUUUCAAAGGGAAGACCUACAACAUUAAACCGCGUCACAAACCCGAAGACAAUAGCAAAGAACAGAAGAAACUCCGGUUGUCCAAAAUUGCCAAAAGUACCUGGAAAAAAUUGUGACGAAUACCCGUUUGCAUCAAGCAUGCAAGGUGGAGCGGGUGCUGUUAUAAUGAAUGUUCCUUCAAGAGAAAACAGUAUUCAAGGUGGAUUACUGGCCAGUUUUUAUCGAAAGCAGAAGAUCGGGAAUGGUGACUGUUACAAGGUUGCACUAGGUCCAUAAGUGACGGCUGAUUUUGUCGUCAAUUCUUUGCACUGAUGUUUCUCAAAAUAACUAAUAACUAUAUAUGUGAUUUCUCACAAAGUAAUGAAUUAAUCAAUCUUUUCAAUGAUUUUCCGCUAAACAAUUCUUUCUUAUAAAUGACACAAAUAUAGCUAAAUACGAUACGUAUUCAUGUGACCACUGAUUUUUGUCUCAAAAUCGACUUAAACUAAAACUAACCUAAUCGCUUGCGAAUUACGCAUUAGGGGUGUUACCCAAACCCCCACACGAUCCCCGCGAUCCUCACACCUCUGGUAAUUUCGCCCCGAAUAACUUCAAGUGAUUUUAAGGGCCGAAAUUUCUCUCAAAGCCAGGGUUCACUGACGCGAACUGCUUACAUAUAUACACGAAUAUCGCCUGUUAAUAACUAGUGUAGAAAAUAUACUUAAAAUACUCACGGAAAUGUUAUAUUUUUGUGAGAAAACGCAGAAGCAUCAACGCGGUUAACAGUUUAAAAAAGUAAUGAUUUCAUGGUUUAGAAGACAUUUUGUCAACUAUACAAGAUUAUGGCAAGAUAAUGGACAAUAAAAAACCCACAAAAAAGUGUUUAAAGUGCCAUUGAAAACAAUGAAGUCGUUAAAAUGUGAAAU